AUCUGGUUUUUAGCUGAGCCUCCAACCCUGCCUCCUGUGUCGUUCUUCCUACUGAGGAAAGAAGAGGAUGCAGCAGAUCUCCCCGUUAAUCCCUAAUCCUUGUCAGGCCGUUGCAGCAGGCACUCCCGGGGCUGCGGAUGGCUCCCUACCGCGGGUUCCUGGAGAACAGCAAUUUGGCAGCAGCUGCACCUGGAAUAGUCUGUGCAUGCUCAAUAGUUGGGCAGGGGGCUUUUCCCCCAAAGAUCAGCACAGGACAGGGUCAAAGGGAUUACAGCGGGUGUUUCCUAGCAACGACAUAGGAGACAUCUACAGGAUAGAAAGUAAAAAACUGCCUAGCUGUCCUUUCAAUCUUUGCUUUCAAAUAUAUGACAAAACGUACAGAUAAAGCUGAAAUCCUCUCUAUGCUGCUUGCAAGCCUCAUGUUCCUGUCUGCCUCCCCAAAGCCACCACCACCAGGAAUUUGGAAAACAUCCUUUGACCACAAAUAUGAGCAGCCAUUGAUAACCAGGACAAGAUGAUUCAUAACGUUAACAAAUCAAAGUAACUGAGAGACAUCUAGAAUCUCAACACCUUACAGAAUGUUAUCAGGGAAUGCUACUCCCUCGAUGUCUCAGUUUGGGACUCCCUAAGAUAAGGACUUGUAUGCUCUUAGUCUAUCAGGAGAACCCAGAAAGUAAGAGUGAGGGAAGUGGGGCGGUGGGCAGUGGAAGCCAAUAUAAAUGUACAUUACUGAAACUGCUACUGAGCUUGGACAACAAGGGACAACGUCUGUCAGUACCUCACGAAAAGUGCACCAAACGCUGCCCAGAAACGCUGCCCCAGGAGGCGGGGAUGGAACCUUCAUCUGCCAGCUCCUCUUCCCCAUUGGUUGAAGAUGGCCUCAGGGCACUGACUUCCCCACACUUCAGACUAUCCCUUCCAUGAGCCAGGAAGGCUUCAGAACAGGUGCUGAAGGAAAACAGGAAAGAAACACAGUGCACACUUCCCUGGGGCUCAGUCACCCACCUAGAACUGUUGGGCCAUCUGAACCUGGCCUCCAGCUAGGACCAUUGAAGCUGGACAACAGCUAGUAGCAGGCCUCUGUCUUCCUUACACAUGAAUCUGACUUGACUAUAUGGAGUAGUGCUGCCCUGCUUCCUGAAAUUCAACGAAUGAUGGGGAGAGUAAGUUUUCCAAUUCCCACGAGCUGUCUCAGUUAGAAAAUUCCAAACAAGGGGUCGCCAUCUUUGAAGUCACCCAUCUCUUACAGCCCCAAACAAACACACACACAAUAUCAAUGCUAUUUACGCCAUUCAUCUUUCCACAUUCUUUUCUGUAUGUAGAAUAAAAGAGCAGCUGCCCAGCAGCAUGAAAAAGUCAACACCUUUCUGGGUGGCCUAUACCAGAUUACAGUUCAAGGGAAUGAGCCACAUGUAUUUCUAAAAUUCCAGCGCAUAGUAGAUGCUCAGUAAAUUUACGGUAAAGUGUUGACUCCUACUUCAUAUCUAAAAAGUCAGCUUUACUUUGCAUUACUCUUCAAAGGAUGAGUCCACAACCUAAGGUGGUUUCAUACAGUGUUCAGGUCCCUUAUUUAUCUCACUCCUUCCCAUCCCCUGGGCAGUCACAGGACAGACGAUGGGUGUGUUGUGAGAAAUAAAGGGACCCACAGCAUAGGCUCUACAUAGGGCAAAAGGCAACAGUGGGGAUUUAAUGUGAGGUGGAGGGGGAACAAGGAGUUGGUAAGGAAGAGGUCAGUAGCUCAAAGGGUGAGUGGGAGAAACUAGGAAGUGUUGUGGGUUGUUGCUGAUGAAAACUUUCCGUAUCUUCACAAUUGCUAGGAGUCUGCUGUGAUUCUCUUUAUGUGCAAAACUCCAUUCUUUCCAGUCAUCUCUCUGGAAUAAUUUCUAUAUUCAGAGCCUUCUUGUUACUUGUCAUUGUCACUCAGAUUGCUUAAACUUACAUGAUAAUCUAUUGUGUUCAGUCCAACUAUGUCAGCAUUGCCAACAUUCUGCAGGGCAGAGAACAUGUCAGCUGACUUCACUGUGGUGCCCAGCGUAUUUGCAGUUCUCAGUGAACCCAGUUAACUGCCCAUUCCCUCAACCCAGAUGGCCUUUCUUUUGAUUAAACAUAUGAGGCUUCCAAUGCCAAAGGGA